GAGGUCCAGCCUGCCCGGUGACGAAAGUUUAACGGCCGCGGUAUCCUGACCGUGCAAAGGUAGCAUAAUCACUUGUUCUUUAAAUGGGGACUAGAAUCAACGGCAUCACGAGGGUCUUACUGUCUCCUUUCUCCAAUCAGUGAAACUGAUCUCUCCGUGAAGAAGCGGGGAUAAAAAUAUAAGACGAGAAGACCCCAUGGAGCUUCAAGCUCAACAAGUACUCUUCUAUUUGUUAGCUUUGGGUUGGGGUGACCGCGGAGAAAAACUUAACCUCCAUAAUGAAAAGAAUAAAAUCCUAAUCUAUGAGCCACACCUCUAAGAAUCAACAAAUUGGCAUAAAAUGACCCGAUUCGAUCAAUGAACCAAGUUACCCUGGGGAUAACAGCGCCAUCCACUUCAAGAGCCCAUAUCGACAAGUGGGUUUACGACCUCGAUGUUGGAUCAGGGUGUCCCAGUGGUGCAGCCGCUACUAAAGGUUCGUUUGUUCAACGAUUAAAACCCU
rnacentral:rRNA from 1 species